CCUGGUUGAUCCUGCCAGUAGUCAUAUGCUUGUCUCAAAGAUUAAGCCAUGCAUGUCUAAGUAUAAGCGACUAUACUGUGAAACUGCGAAUGGCUCAUUAAAUCAGUUAUGGUUUAUUUGAUGGUACCUUGCUACUUGGAUAACCGUAGUAAUUCUAGAGCUAAUACAUGCAGGAGUUCCCGACUCACGGAGGGAUGUAUUUAUUAGAUAAGAAACCAAACCGGUCUCCGGUUGCGUGCUGAGUCAUAAUAACUGCUCGAAUCGCACGGCUCUACGCCAGCGAUGGUUCAUUCAAAUUUCUGCCCUAUCAGCUUUCGAUGGUAGGAUAGAGGCCUACCAUGGCGUUAACGGGUAACGGAGAAUUAGGGUUCGAUUCCGGAGAGGGAGCCUGAGAAAUGGCUACCACAUCCAAGGAAGGCAGCAGGCGCAUAAAUUGCCCGAGUCCUGACACAGGGAGGUAGUGACAAGAAAUAACAAUACAGGGCUAUUUUAGUCUCGUAAUUGGAAUGAGUACAAUUUACAUCUCUUCACGAGGAUCAAUUGGAGGGCAAGUCUGGUGCCAGCAGCCGCGGUAAUUCCAGCUCCAAUAGCGUAUAUUAAAGUUGUUGCAGUUAAAACGCUCGUAGUCGGAUUUCGGGGCGGGCCGACCGGUCUGCCGAUGGGUAUGCACUGGCCGGCGCGUCCUUCCACCCGGAGACCGCGCCUACUCUUAACUGAGCGGGCGCGGGAGACGGGUCUUUUACUUUGAAAAAAUCAGAGUGUUUCAAGCAGGCAGUCGCUCUUGCAUGGAUUAGCAUGGGAUAAUGAAAUAGGACUCUGGUGCUAUUUUGUU
rnacentral:rRNA from 1 species